UGACAUUCAUGCCGAAGGGAAAGGGUUGGAAGCGCGGGAAAUAAAAAUGUAGUAGUGUAGGACCGUUAAAUUUUCCCUACGUACUAGGAAUCCGCCGCAAACCGAAUAGAGAAAUCGCUUAUGGAUUGAUCAAAAAUUUAAGUUGGUCCGGAGUGGAUUAGGCGAGGCGAUUUUCCUUUUCUUUUCCUUCUAACAUCUACGCAGUUCGGCAUAGAUGACGCAGUUGUCUAUUCCUAGUUUGAGCCAUGCGCAGAUUCAAACAUUAUACCAGUCAUUUUAGGGCGAUGUGGAACCACCGGAAGAUGGGAAAGUGAUAACUAGAACUGCAGAAAAGAAUUGGCAAUUCUACGCGACAAGUCGGAAUAUGUCGCGUGCUUUGCGCCCAGUAUUCUACCACCAAGGCAUGCUGGAAGGAGGGAGAAAGUACCUUAUAUAUUCUCCCUUUUAAAGGGCGACUAGGAAUUAGGGGACCCAGUCGCCAAAUCCUGAUGGUGACGAAUUAUUGCACAGCACCAUUUAAAUCGGGCGCCACUGUAAAGUCAUUAAGUUAUUUUGGAAGCAGGAGAUGUGGAAAAUAUGUAAUGCUCUCGCCGUCAUGACGAACCUGGACCUCUGGAAUACGCGCCAAGUGUUCUACCGUUACACCACAAAGGCAUACUGGAAGGAAGGAGAAAAUAGCUUGUAACUGAAACAUUGUUUUCAAAAUAAAGUCUUCCACCAAAUUCCGGCAGAACAUCUAUCAGAAAUGCUGUAAUCUGCAAAAAUUAUAUAAACAUGUAUCUUCGUUCACAAUUAAAGUUAUACUUGUUGCAGUUCUCAUAUAAAAAAUAUUAAAUUGCUUACAUUUU